AGACAACAAUGUAUCAGCCAGUGCGGAUACAUUGAUUUAUUAAUUUAUUCAACACUGCCGGCAGCCAAGGCAGUAGUGGUACAGGUACCGUAGAAUACCGUGGGAGCGCCCAGUUUCACACAAGUGCCCAAUAUAACCAUUUCCAAAACUUCAGAAUUCUGAAAGUUAUAUGUUAAGCACCCUCUCGCUCCAAAGAGCAAGCAUCAGCCAAAAUAGUCACUCCAUUGCAGUCGCUACAAGACCACUAGGGGCGAUGACGAGGAUAUUCGUUUCCUUGCGGUGGGAAAGGAAAGACCGAUGGAGGUGAAAAUAAUGCAGAGUGACAAUGAACAGUCCUUGACAGAAAACACAGUGGUUGCAGGGCUUUUGUGAGACCUUUUUGAUAAAGCGUGCAUGUAGCCGGUGUUCCCAGACUUGUGCAAUCCGCUAGCCCCACGAGGCACUCCUACACCGUCGCCAGGAAGAUCGAAUUCGCCGAGUGGCACCACCUGUUGGGGAGGAAUGCGAGCUGCACCUCAGCAUUUUAAGAAACAGAAAAAGAACCAAGUGGGACACCAAGUACGACGUGCUUAGGCACCGCAACUAUGGCAAGCAGAAGAUGAAGCAUGAUCUUAUGGUCGCAUGAUCCUUUAAGAGUGCCUCCAGGACACCAAGACUACAACUUGGACUGGUCCAUGGGUUGGGGCUUGUCAUGGCCUGCGCGUGCCAGGGGUGUAAUACGAUUGGCUGCUCGCUAUCGCGGGGAGCCAACAUGGAAUGCCCACUCCCCCUGGCAUGAUCUGGCCUUGGCGGCACCAGUUCACGAAACACCCUGCUUCCAGCAUUGACGAGCCCUUGGGUGCCCCUGGAGAACCUGCGCUGCCUGCUUCACGAUAAUCUCACAUGCUCUUCCGAGGCCUCCGUUUGCCAGUUGUAUGUGUCUCCAGGGGUACUACUUUUAAAAAAUUAAAUCUAUUGCUGCAAAAAACCACACCCUGUAACGAAAAAAGUGCUCCACGACUUCUUUAACGCCUGUCAGAAUCUUGCUUUUUUUGUACAAGUGCACUUGCCCUUCUCAUGACCAGUAAUAAAGGUGACCACAUUCUAUUUUCAUGUGAAUAUGCGUAUCACCUUUGUGGGGUUAAUGGUGCAUCCACAAAAUAAAAUUUUCACACCCCUCCCUUAAAUGUUGAACACCCACAGAUAACACCUUCAGUCUAACACAUAAUUGCCGUAUUUUCCCACAUUAUGGGAACACAUUAGUGCGAAAGCAUUAUAUUCCCCAUUACGUGAAAACCCGUCUGUGUUACCAAAAGAGUACCAAAAAUAGCCGACAGCGCAGAGUAAAAACUAGUAAAAAAAUGUUCAGACUGACAUUAAAUUUCUCGGAGAGGUUCCUGUAAAGAAAGCAAGUUAAUGGCUUUGAAAAGAAAAUGGCAUAAAUUUCGGUGUGGGUGGGAAUCAAACCUGGACCUCUGGAGUGCGAGACGAGCAUGCUUCCCCGACACCACAGCGGCUCCACGGUUCUGGUUAACUAAACAUGUGCCUAGUAUGUGCGUCAUUCAGGGUGUCUACCAAGCUGACAUUUCCAAGUUCCCCGAGUUUUCCAGGUUUUCCCCGAGUACCUUUGCAAUACUGCCCGAGUGACUUAGAAUAUUCUUUUACGUCUAGACGGGCUCCCUACAUCACGUCGCCUAAUUGUGUCACUCUCUAGUAAGCAAGUUAAAUAAAAAACAACAUAAUGUAGUUUCAAUAGUAAGGGGUAGUGUAUUUUAUUCAAAAAGAAAACAGAGGGGAGGGGUUAGUAAAAUGCACAGCGUAAAACCCAUUGCAGUAAAACCCAUUGCAAACUGAGUCGAACAUUCUCAAAUACGAAUAAAUAAGAUGCAUACAGAAUAUUUUCGAAUAUGAGCUGUUUCCAUCAACCGAUAGCGAGCUAACUGAUAUGAGGCCCGAACUUUAUCACAAGUGAGAUUCUCUCGCAACAGCUGGUAAGUCAACCUCAACUGUCCUGACAUACUCUCAGCCCGCGCACAACACCUCAGUGUUGCGUUUCACUGUUUUAAAGACUUUUUGCUUGAAUGAGGGACACCUGCAUUUCGGCGUCGGCCAACACUGCUUUUAGAAUGCAAGCUGCUUCAAAAAAGCAGCGGCAUCCUUCCUUUCCUAUUCAUUUCUGAAUGCGUAGGUUCAUUGCCUUCUUGUUCUUCGGCUGCGCGCUCACCACACUGACUAUUUAAAGCAUCCUCUUGGACAGUUUUACAGACAGCGUACCAUUUUUCGGACUCCCUAGGGGCCGCAAAAACAUUAAAAAAAUGUGGCACUCCGAACAAAAAAAAA